rnacentral:rRNA from 1 species
AUGAACGCUAGCUACAGGCUUAACACAUGCAAGUCGAGGGGCAGCAUUUUAGUUUGCUUGCAAACUGAAGAUGGCGACCGGCGCACGGGUGAGUAACACGUAUCCAACCUGCCGAUAACUCCGGAAUAGCCUUUCGAAAGAAAGAUUAAUACCGGAUGGCAUACGAAUAUCGCAUGAUAUUUUUAUUAAAGAAUUUCGGUUAUCGAUGGGGAUGCGUUCCAUUAGUUUGUUGGCGGGGUAACGGCCCACCAAGACUACGAUGGAUAGGGGUUCUGAGAGGAAGGUCCCCCACAUUGGAACUGAGACACGGUCCAAACUCCUACGGGAGGCAGCAGUGAGGAAUAUUGGUCAAUGGGCGCGAGCCUGAACCAGCCAAGUAGCGUGAAGGAUGAAGGCUCUAUGGGUCGUAAACUUCUUUUAUAUGGGAAUAAAGUUUUCCACGUGUGGAAUUUUGUAUGUACCAUAUGAAUAAGGAUCGGCUAACUCCGUGCCAGCAGCCGCGGUAAUACGGAGGAUCCGAGCGUUAUCCGGAUUUAUUGGGUUUAAAGGGAGCGUAGGUGGAUUGUUAAGUCAGUUGUGAAAGUUUGCGGCUCAACCGUAAAAUUGCAGUUGAAACUGGCAGUCUUGAGUACAGUAGAGGUGGGCGGAAUUCGUGGUGUAGCGGUGAAAUGCUUAGAUAUCACGAAGAACUCCGAUUGCGAAGGCAGCUCACUAGACUGUCACUGACACUGAUGCUCGAAAGUGUGGGUAUCAAACAGGAUUAGAUACCCUGGUAGUCCACACAGUAAACGAUGAAUACUCGCUGUUUGCGAUAUACAGUAAGCGGCCAAGCGAAAGCAUUAAGUAUUCCACCUGGGGAGUACGCCGGCAACGGUGAAACUCAAAGGAAUUGACGGGGGCCCGCACAAGCGGAGGAACAUGUGGUUUAAUUCGAUGAUACGCGAGGAACCUUACCCGGGCUUAAAUUGCAACAGAAUAUAUUGGAAACAGUAUAGCCGUAAGGCUGUUGUGAAGGUGCUGCAUGGUUGUCGUCAGCUCGUGCCGUGAGGUGUCGGCUUAAGUGCCAUAACGAGCGCAACCCUUAUCUUUAGUUACUAACAGGUCAUGCUGAGGACUCUAGAGAGACUGCCGUCGUAAGAUGUGAGGAAGGUGGGGAUGACGUCAAAUCAGCACGGCCCUUACGUCCGGGGCUACACACGUGUUACAAUGGGGGGUACAGAAGGCGGCUACCUGGUGACAGGAUGCUAAUCCCAAAAACCUCUCUCAGUUCGGAUCGAAGUCUGCAACCCGACUUCGUGAAGCUGGAUUCGCUAGUAAUCACGCAUCAGCCAUGGCGCGGUGAAUACGUUCCCGGGCCUUGUACACACCGCCCGUCAAGCCAUGAAAGCCGGGGGUACCUGAAGUACGUAACCGCAAGGAGCGUCCUAGGGUAAAACUGGUAAUUGGGGCU